rnacentral:rRNA from 1 species
GGGGCAACCUGGCGGCGAGUGGCGAACGGGUGAGUAAUAUAUCGGAACGUACCCUGGAGUGGGGGAUAACGUAGCGAAAGUUACGCUAAUACCGCAUACGAUCUAAGGAUGAAAGUGGGGGAUCGCAAGACCUCAUGCUCCUGGAGCGGCCGAUAUCUGAUUAGCUAGUUGGUGGGGUAAAGGCCUACCAAGGCAUCGAUCAGUAGCUGGUCUGAGAGGACGACCAGCCACACUGGAACUGAGACACGGUCCAGACUCCUACGGGAGGCAGCAGUGGGGAAUUUUGGACAAUGGGCGCAAGCCUGAUCCAGCAAUGCCGCGUGAGUGAAGAAGGCCUUCGGGUUGUAAAGCUCUUUUGUCAGGGAAGAAACGGUGAGGGCUAAUAUCCCUUGCUAAUGACGGUACCUGAAGAAUAAGCACCGGCUAACUACGUGCCAGCAGCCGCGGUAAUACGUAGGGUGCAAGCGUUAAUCGGAAUUACUGGGCGUAAAGCGUGCGCAGGCGGUUUUGUAAGUCUGUCGUGAAAUCCCCGGGCUCAACCUGGGAAUUGCGAUGGAGACUGCAAGGCUAGAAUCUGGCAGAGGGGGGUAGAAUUCCACGUGUAGCAGUGAAAUGCGUAGAGAUGUGGAGGAACACCGAUGGCGAAGGCAGCCCCCUGGGUCAAGAUUGACGCUCAUGCACGAAAGCGUGGGGAGCAAACAGGAUUAGAUACCCUGGUAGUCCACGCCCUAAACGAUGUCUACUAGUUGUCGGGUUUUAAUUAACUUGGUAACGCAGCUAACGCGUGAAGUAGACCGCC